rnacentral:rRNA from 1 species
AUGCAUUGGUACACUUCGUGGAAGUUAUGUUACCCAAAGAAUGAGGGUGGUAUGGGAUUCCGAGACCUUUACUCCUUUAAUCUAGCAAUGCUUUCGAAGCAAUGUUGGAGACUUGUCACUCCACAUUCUUUAUGUGCCCGGGUGCUGAAGGCGAAGUACUUCCCAAACUGUAGCAUACUCGAAGCCACUUUGAAAUAUGGCGCAUCUUUUACCUGGCAAAGCAUCAUGAAGGGAGUUGAUAUGUUCAAACUGGGAUAUAUAUGGAGGAUUGGGAAUGGUUACUAGAGCGUCAAAAUUUGGAAUGAUCCCUGGGUACCAGCAAGUCCGGAUAGAAAUAUGAUCUCUGCACGUGGGCAGACUGUGUUGUCAAGAGUUAGCGAUCUAAUAGACCCAAAUACUGGGAUGUGGGACGAAGAUCUUCUUCUAUCUAUUCUGAACCCAGUGGACGUUCGGAGAGUGCUGCAAAUCCCACUUAGUUACAACUCAUUUGAGGAUUUUAUCGCUUGGCAUGCAGACCGAAGGGGAAUAUUUUUAGUAUGGUCUGCGUACCAACUGCAACGGAGUCAUACUUACCAGGCGUAG